rnacentral:rRNA from 1 species
AGUCGAACGAUGAAGCUGGAGCUUGCUCUGGUGGAUUAGUGGCGAACGGGUGAGUAACACGUGAGUAACCUGCCCUUGACUCUGGGAUAAGCGUUGGAAACGACGUCUAAUACCGGAUACGAGCUUCAGCCGCAUGGCUAGGAGCUGGAAAGAAUUUCGGUCAAGGAUGGACUCGCGGCCUAUCAGCUUGUUGGUGAGGUAAUGGCUCACCAAGGCGACGACGGGUAGCCGGCCUGAGAGGGUGACCGGCCACACUGGGACUGAGACACGGCCCAGACUCCUACGGGAGGCAGCAGUGGGGAAUAUUGCACAAUGGGCGCAAGCCUGAUGCAGCAACGCCGCGUGAGGGACGACGGCCUUCGGGUUGUAAACCUCUUUUAGCAGGGAAGAAGCGAAAGUGACGGUACCUGCAGAAAAAGCACCGGCUAACUACGUGCCAGCAGCCGCGGUAAUACGUAGGGUGCAAGCGUUGUCCGGAAUUAUUGGGCGUAAAGAGCUCGUAGGCGGUUUGUCGCGUCUGCUGUGAAAACGCGAGGCUCAACCUCGCGCCUGCAGUGGGUACGGGCAGACUAGAGUGCGGUAGGGGAGAUUGGAAUUCCUGGUGUAGCGGUGGAAUGCGCAGAUAUCAGGAGGAACACCGAUGGCGAAGGCAGAUCUCUGGGCCGUAACUGACGCUGAGGAGCGAAAGCGUGGGGAGCGAACAGGAUUAGAUACCCUGGUAGUCCACGCCGUAAACGUUGGGAACUAGAUGUAGGGACCAUUCCACGGUUUCUGUGUCGCAGCUAACGCAUUAAGUUCCCCGCCUGGGGAGUACGGUCGCA